UAACGCCUGCAAAAGAAGUUAUUGGAAUAUUUCAGAGCACGCGAGAUGAGUGAAAGGUGGAAGAGUAUGGCAGGUUUACCUGGAGGCAAAAAUUCUCUCUACAUCCAAAUGGUAGCUCAUCUAUCCCAUAUAUUGUUGCAGAAAGUGUCCCAUGCAGCAAAUGUUUCUGCUCCUCCUGCGUCAUUGUUUGACCAGCGAAUUCCUAAAGAGAUGAGUAAAAAUACACCCACAAUAUGAACUUUUCUAAACAGAGCAAAAGAGAAAAGCUUUUGGGUGAUUGCCUUAAAGACAGCUUAAUGGAUGAACUCCAGGGGAGAGAUUUUGAUGUGGCAUGUUGUUCAAAAUUAUAAUUAGAAUUGCUUUCUUUAGUAUAGAAGUGUGAAGAAAAAUAUUCAUAUGCAUUUAAAGUAGGAAUCAGUUCCCAACUUUGCUUCCCGGUAAACACUUUGCCAGAAGCAAUGUAUGAAUUCUUUAAAUAAAUAUACAAAAACCGGAAUUGCUGGAAUUUAAA